GCCAGGUCUGGGGACCAGGGCCUCUGCAUGCUAGGCGAGCACUGUACCAUGGAGCUACAUCCCCAGACUUUAAAAUUUUUUUUUAGACAAGGUCUUGCUAAAUUGCUGAGGCUGGCCUCAAAUUUGUGAUCCUCCUGCCUAAGUCUCCUGAGUAGCUGGAAUUACAGUCAUGUGCCACCCCGCCUGGCUCUUAACAUUUUUUUUUUCCAGAGGAAAAACAUCCCACAAUAAACAGCUUUACUUUAGCUGUUUAUAUAAAAAAUAUAAACUCCAUGGUUUAUCUUUGGAAGACUCUAGAUUCCUGGCGCUUGUGGAAAUGUUCAGCAUUGGAGAAAAUAUUCUGGGGCAUGGUCCUUAUUUUCCUUAUUCUGCAACUUCCUACUGAUGGGCAGCUGACUUCAUGCUGGGAGAAAAGUUUUGGGUGGAUUAUAUUUCUGAAGAUCUGAGCCCUGCUGGGAUAUCUGCGGGCGGUGGUGGUUGCAACCCCCACCUGGAGCAGCAGGGGGCAGCCUGUAGCUAGGAAUCCUCCACCAGGCCUGCAGAAUCACUGUGGUUCUUCCAGCCCUCCAUGGUCAACUGUGACUGUUUCUGAUCCAAGACAGAAAACAAGUGCGACAUCCAAAGAAGGAGUCCAUGGAGGAGGCAGCAGUGGGCUGGGGGGUCAGGUGCUCACAGACAGUCCUUCUCAACAAUGGAUUCCAGCAGGGUGAACAGGUAGGCCCAGGCAUCUGCCAAUCAGAAGGGACGCAGAGCCUCCUGCUGCUCAGGCGUGGGGGCCUGGGAUUGGGCAGCAGCUAUUCCCUGGUUGAUGUGAGUGCUAUCAAUAUGCUCCCAGGCCACCUGAUGAGGGCUGUGGGUGCGCUCUGUGUGGUGGGAUUGCUAAUGAGGACAUGAGUCUGG
rnacentral:lncRNA from 1 species